UUAAUGGUCUCUCCUGUAUCUGCUCCAUCCCUCCCGCUGCUUCUUUCUGCUUUCCCUCUCAUCAUCUAAUUUCCCUCCUUCUCCAUUUUCUUUUCCUUCCUAAAGGAAAAAUUGUCCUUGGCGGUUUGUCAUUGGGCUUGCCUAGUUGCUGCCCUCUACUGCCCCCUGCUGGAGACGAAGGGGAAGCGCGAGCCUCCCUCUGAGACUGCGGAAGCUGUGAGUUGCUGGUACCGUCUAGAAGGAAUAGCAAGGAAGGCAGAUAGGGGAGCCCUGAAACUCCUUGUGCCCAGCUCUGAUUGCCUCUCAUUUAGUUCUGCCUGACUCGCUACUACCCGAAACCUAGGGAUCUCUUUGCCAAGGAGAAGCUGUGUUUUAUGAUGUGCAGAUGUGCCCAAAUUAAACGUCCUGAAGACACUCACAGCUGCAGAAAUAGAAGCAGGUGCCUGGAUGUAGAGUGAUGAGAAGACACCAUCUGCCGUAAAGCAGCUCACCUUGACUCACGUGGCCCAGCAACGUCUCAUCAGCUAAGAACUCUAGAUUAUUAUACAAAAUCAUCAUAAUGUUUGUCUUGUGACGACAGAUUGGAAUUUAUUUCUCCAAUCCAAAACAUCGGUCAAUGGAAUACAAACUACCCUUGUUCCAAGGACCAAUCGGGUUUUCUGUGAAGGCUCAGAGAGGUUCUGCAACUUGACCACAUCACACAGCGAUGGAGCCUAGAUUUGGCCCAAUCAUUUUUUUCUCUAUGAACCCCAAACCAAAAGACCAGAGGGCCCAAAGAAAGCUGAGAAGGUUGACUGCUGUGCAUUGCCUUUAAGAGCAUGAGAGUCAAUGCAGAAAAUCACAUCCAUCUGUCCUGCUGGUCUCUGUCAUCAACUUUUGAUGUCUUCAAAACAAGAUGAGUGGCACUUUCAGACAAGAAGGAAGAUUGUCCUCAGAUGGUCACAUUGGGUCUGGCUGUACAGCAUUAUGUUGGUUAUUAUAAACACACAAGAAAAGUGUAAGCUGUGGUUCCUGCCCUCAGCUGACGUUAAAUCCACAGGAACACAAUGCCCCGAAUUGGAAAGGGUCUCAUGGGACAACAGUGUCUAUGUUAUUUUUAAUCUUGUGUCCCUAGGACCUGCCUCCUGCCCAGGGUAGAUUGGGCCCCUAUGCACGAUUGCUGUCUGAGAGGCAUUAGGGCAACUUCCCACUCAGCUCAGAGGCCCCCCUCCAGUGUGUGUGGUGUUUACUUGAAGACAUUUACAUACAGGAAUCUCUCCACCAUGCUGGCAGUGCAUUCUAUUGCUAAAUCACUCUUUCCUUCAUAUCGAGUCAAGACCUGCCUACCUUGUAACCUCACAAAUGGACCCAGAUUCUCCCCCUCAAGAUCUACAUAGCCUAAGUCAAUUCUCUGCUCUAUAUGUUGGGCUGUAGGUAUUUAGGGACAUCCAUGUUGUAUCAUGCUACCCUUCUCUGACCUCUGUUAUCUCUUUCUUCAGGUACUUCUCGGGUGUCUUAGUUUUGAGACCACCUCAUCAUCUUAUU